rnacentral:rRNA from 1 species
UACGUAGGGGGCAAGCGUUGUCCGGAUUUAUUGGGCGUAAAGAGCGUGUAGGCGGCUAGGUAGGUCCGUUGUGAAAACUCGAGGCUCAACCUCGAGACGUCGAUGGAAACCAUCUAGCUAGAGUCCGGAAGAGGAGAGUGGAAUUCCUGGUGUAGCGGUGAAAUGCGCAGAUAUCAGGAAGAACACCCGUGGCGAAGGCGGCUCUCUGGUACGUGACUGACGCUGAGACGCGAAAGCAUGGGGAGCGAACAGG